UGAAGAGAUGGUGAUUUCAUCAUCUUUGGAGAAGAAGGUUCUUGGAAGCUAUGACUAGCUGAAGAAUCUUUUUCAACUUGAAACACCGCAGUCCCCUUGUGGUUUCUCAUUGGCAUCCUGCGAGGGAGUUUUGCUGCUUCUUCACAUUUAAGAAGCUCGGCAUAGAGGCCAUCCAGUGCUAUCAGUUCAUCAUGUGUGCCCAUUUCAACUAAUUGACCUUCCUCCAUCACGGCAAUGUAAUCAGCAUUUCGGAUAAGACUAAGUCGCCUUGCUAUUAUUAUAGUUGAUCUUCCCAACAUGAGGA
rnacentral:misc_RNA from 1 species